UACGUAGGUGGCAAGCGUUGUCCGGAAUUAUUGGGCGUAAAGCGCGCGUAGGCGGAUCAUCAAGUCGGGGGUGAAAUCCCGGGGCUCAACCUCGGAAUGGCCUUCAAAACUCCUGGUCUUGAGUUCGAGAGAGGUGAGUGGAAUUCCGAGUGUAGAGGUGAAAUUCGUAGAUAUUCGGAGGAACACCAGUGGCGAAGGCGGCUCGCUGGCUCGAACCUGACGCUGAGGUGCGAAAGCGUGGGGAGCAAACAGG
rnacentral:rRNA from 1 species